UUCCUAUUGAUUCUUCAAUUCACUCCGAUUAAGUUUUACUAUUUGAUGAAAGUUCAACUUCAUCGUCAUUUGAAUUAUGUGCUCUCUUUAUUUCUGGUAUUAUUGUUUCUGAUUUAUGUAUUCUCAAGAACAGACUUACAUUUAAACAGUGUCUAAUGUUGUUUUGUGUGAAUUGCAAUGAGAGUUUAUAAUUUUUGUGACUAAUUUUCAUUUUGACCUUUGAAGAAAUAAACGAUUUUUUUGUUGU
ensembl:ncRNA T22D1.22 ncRNA